rnacentral:rRNA from 1 species
AGAGUUUGAUCCUGGCUCAGGACGAACGCUGGCGGCGUGCUUAACACAUGCAAGUCGAACGGUGACGAGGAGCUUGCUCCUCUGAUCAGUGGCGAACGGGUGAGUAACACGUGAGCAACCUGCCCCAGACUCUGGGAUAACAGUUGGAAACAGCUGCUAAUACCGGAUACGAGACGGAGAGGCAUCUCUACCGUCUGGAAAGUUUUUCGGUCUGGGAUGGACUCGCGGCCUAUCAGCUAGUUGGUGAGGUAAUGGCUCACCAAGGCGACGACGGGUAGCCGGCCUGAGAGGGCGACCGGCCACACUGGGACUGAGACACGGCCCAGACUCCUACGGGAGGCAGCAGUGGGGAAUAUUGCACAAUGGGCGAAAGCCUGAAGCAGCACGCCGCGUGAGGGAUGACGGCCUUCGGGUUGUAAACCUCUUUCAGCAGGGAAGAAGCGAAAGUGACGGUACCUGCAGAAGAAGCACCGGCUAACUACGUGCCAGCAGCCGCGGUAAUACGUAGGGUGCGAGCGUUGUCCGGAAUUAUUGGGCGUAAAGAGCUUGUAGGCGGUUUGUCGCGUCUGCAGUGAAAAUCCGAGGCUCAACCUCGGACUUGCUGUGGGUACGGGCAGACUAGAGUAUGGUAGGGGAGACCGGAAUUCCUGGUGUAGCGGUGGAAUGCGCAGAUAUCAGGAGGAACACCGAUGGCGAAGGCAGGUCUCUGGGCCAUAACUGACGCUGAGAAGCGAAAGCAUGGGGAGCGAACAGGAUUAGAUACCCUGGUAGUCCAUGCCGUAAACGUUGGGCGCUAGGUGUGGGGCUCAUUCCACGAGCUCCGUGCCGCAGCUAACGCAUUAAGCGCCCCGCCUGGGGAGUACGGCCGCAAGGCUAAAACUCAAAGGAAUUGACGGGGGCCCGCACAAGCGGCGGAGCAUGCGGAUUAAUUCGAUGCAACGCGAAGAACCUUACCAAGGCUUGACAUAUACCGGAAACAUCCAGAGAUGGGUGCCCCGCAAGGUCGGUAUACAGGUGGUGCAUGGUUGUCGUCAGCUCGUGUCGUGAGAUGUUGGGUUAAGUCCCGCAACGAGCGCAACCCUCGUUCUAUGUUGCCAGCGCGUAAUGGCGGGGACUCAUAGGAGACUGCCGGGGUCAACUCGGAGGAAGGUGGGGAUGACGUCAAAUCAUCAUGCCCCUUAUGUCUUGGGCUUCACGCAUGCUACAAUGGCCGGUACAAAGGGCUGCGAUACCGCGAGGUGGAGCGAAUCCCAAAAAACCGGUCCCAGUUCGGAUUGGGGUCUGCAACUCGACCCCAUGAAGUCGGAGUCGCUAGUAAUCGCAGAUCAGCAACGCUGCGGUGAAUACGUUCCCGGGCCUUGUACACACCGCCCGUCAAGUCACGAAAGUCGGUAACACCCGAAGCCGGUGGCCCAACCCUUGUGGAGGGAGCCGUCGAAGGUGGGACUGGCGAUUGGGACUAAGUCGUAACAAGGUA